AAGUCGUAACAAGGUUUCCGUAGGUGAACCUGCGGAAGGAUCAUUAAUGCUAACUUUCCAACUUGGGGAAUUGAUAAGCCCUGUGUGCGGUCUGAACUAGAUUCUACUGCUAUUGGCGCUUAACAGUUCAACUAGCUUGUGAAACGUGUAACUCUUAUCUUAAACGCUUAAGGAACUUUUUAUUAAGUUCCCUAACGUACCAAGUAACUUGAGAAGGCCUUUGCUGUUUUUUCGGAGAUAGCAAAGUGUUUUUCUCUCAUUUUUUUUACUACCAUAAUUACCCUAUUAACUUAUAAACUAUUAGACUGAUAUAAAAUAACAUUUAUUUUAUAAAUGUAUGAUACAACUCUUAGCAAUGGAUAUCUAGGCUCUU
rnacentral:misc_RNA from 1 species